UGGGGGAUAUUGCACAAUGGGCGAAAGCCUGAUGCAGCGACGCCGCGUGGGGGAUGAAGGCUUUCGGGUUGUAAACCUCUUUCGCUAUCGAACAAGGCCCGCUUAGGGUGGGUUGAGGGUAGGUGGAGAAGAAGCGCCGGCUAACUACGUGCCAGCAGCCGCGGUAAUACGUAGGGCGCGAGCGUUGUCCGGAAUUAUUGGGCGUAAAGGGCUUGUAGGCGGCUUGUUGCGCCUGCUGUGAAAACGCGGGGCUUAACUUCGCGCGUGCAGUGGGUACGGGCAGGCUUGAGUGUGGUAGGGGUGACUGGAAUUCCAGGUGUAGCGGUGGAAUGCGCAGAUAUCUGGGGGAACACCGAUGGCGAAGGCAGGUCACUGGGCCAUUACUGACGCUGAGGAGCGAAAGAAUGGGUAGCGAACAGG
rnacentral:rRNA from 1 species